rnacentral:sRNA from 1 species
AGCUUGGAAGCUUAGGGGAGCUGCUGUGGCCCAGGGCUCAGUGGGGAGGAAGAGGAGGCCAGGAGUCUUGGACUAGCUGCAAGGUUUGAGCUAGGCUGAAGCAGCAGAACCACAGAGGUGACUGAGCAGGGGCCCGGCCCUGGGACCCAGCCAUCCACACGCACACAUCCACUUCUCCCUCCAGAGCCCGGCCCUGAAGCAGGUCUCUGCUCCAGGCCUUUCCUUAGUUGGGGAAUCGAGAGUUGGGGGAUCAAAGGCCCCCCACAUCUCCCUCCCCCGCUGCAGCUAUGUUUAUCAAGGUGAUGUUUGGGGCUGGCUGCUCCGUGCUGGUGAACACCUCUUGCAGGCUGGUGAACCUCACCGCCCACCUGAGGCAGAAAGCAGGGUUGCCCCCAGAUGGUGAGGAGACAGGGAGGAGAAGGAGGGGCUGAGGGGUCCCAGGCAGGGGUGCCAGCCCUGCCCAGCCUCUUUCCAUGUCCUCCCAGCGACCAUUGCUCUCCUGGCUGAGGACGGCAACCUAGUGAGCCUGGAGGAGGACCUGAAGGAAGGGGCUUCCCGGGCCCAAACCAUGGGCAACUCCCUGCUGAAGGAGCGAGCCAUAUAUGUCCUCGUUCGGAUCAUCAGUAAGGUGGCCCAAGGUUCUCUCCCCUGCAGCUAUGAAUGUAAGAGGGGGGCAUAGCAGACCAUAGACUACCCAAGGCCCUGUCCAGCCUCCCACCUCGGCUGGGGACCUAGCCCCAAUCCAUCCCUACCCAAUGCUCUGCCCCCAGCCUGGACUAGCAAACAGUUCCAGAGUGAGAGGCAGAGUAGGGACCAUUAGGCCAGUCGGGUGUCCUUCAUCCUCUCUCCACAUGCCACAGAGGGAGAGGACAUGGCCUCUACCCGCUAUGAGUCCCUACUGGAGAACCUGGAUGACCAUUACCCAGAGCUGGCAGGUGAGUGUCAGGGUACAGCCCAGGGGGAGGGCACACCUUCUCCCUAACCCCUACCAACAGGACUUCCCGGGCCUUCCAGAGGAACUGUGCAGGCUGUCAGGCCUCUCCUCUGCAGGCCACAACUGGAGGAAGCGUGUGGGCACUCGGCGUGGCCGCCAUGAGCAAAGCCCCACUUCAAGGCCCAGAAAGGUGAGCUCCUUGCCACCCAGGAGUUGCUAGCUGGGACCGGGAGCCAGGUACAGAGGAGAUUUGGACAUCCAGAGGGACACCCAGAGUGGGACCCCUUCCUGCAGGACAGACACAUAUGAUGAGAGGCAGACCCUCAGCACCAACUCCACGCACAUAUACCCCCAGAUGGAACACACUGUACCCUGAGACAGGUCCCCACCACCCCACUGGAGUGCCAGCGCACUAAGGGCCAGAAUGUCCUCAGGCUUCACAGAUGUGGCAUAGGGGCUGGCACACAGUAGGAGCUCAGUGCACAACUGCUGGAUGAACUCAACGAAGGCGGCAGCAUGGUGUGUGAUGGCACGGCCCACACUGGGUUUGAAGGGCUUGUUCUUCCAUUCUGGCAGGCCCAGGGACCUGGCACACUACUGCCAACUAGCCAAGUUGGACUCAGACCCAAGGAGGUUAGCCAUGACCUCUGCCUUGUGUGAUCAGGUGCAAACAGACAACCCAGCAGGACUCCUCUUGCAGAAUCUGGAAUUGCUGAGAAGUUGCAUCAGCAAGAGGGGCAAGGUCAGACAGGAUUUGAGGCCGCCGGGGACACCUAAGCUAUGGGUGCAGAGAAUGGGAUGCAGAGGCAAAGACAAGAAGGGUAGAGGUGGCAGGUAUCCCUGAUAAGGGGGAGACCAUGGGUUCAUCCUGGGAUUCCACCCUCAGAGUCAGAUGCCCUUGGGAUCACCUACUAAUGCCUCUCCACCACACUCUGGACUGCCCAAGGCAUCUGUCCUGUGCUACUCACAGUGCAGAUUGCAACAGGGCUCCUCCUCCCCACCCAGGGCCCUGAUUAAGGGGAUGGAUUGCACACUGUAGUGAGACAUCCAUCCUGACCCCACCUCAUCAGCCAGGGAGCUCCCUGAAGACAGGCCAUCGAGAGAGGCACACAACAGGCUGUGGUCUAAAAUAAACUUUUAAUUGCA